rnacentral:rRNA from 1 species
CCUACGGGUGGCAGCAGUGAGGAAUAUUGGUCAAUGGCCGGAAGGCUGAACCAGCCAUGCCGCGUGAAGGUCAGUGCCCUAUGGGCGUUAAACUUCUUUUGUGCGGGAGCAAUAAUGGUCACGUGUGGCCAGACGAGAGUACCGUACGAAUAAGCAUCGGCUAACUCCGUGCCAGCAGCCGCGGUAAUACGGGGGAUGCAAGCGUUAUCCGGAUUUAUUUGGUUUAAAGGGUGCGUAGGCUGUGAGGUAAGUCAGCGGUGAAAUGCCCCCGCUCAACGGGGUGAAGUGCCAUUGAUACUGCCUUGCUGGAAUGCAGAUGACGUGGAAGACAUGUGUUGUGUAGCGGUUAACUGCCUAGAUAUCACACAGAACCCCGCUUGCGACGGCAUCUCACGAAUCCGCGAUUGACGCUGAUGCACGAAAGCGUGGGUAUCAAACAGGAUUAGAUACCCUUGUAGUC